AANAUGCAGUCGAACGGUAGCAGGAAGGAAGCUUGCUUUCUUUGCUGACGAGUGGCGGACGGGUGAGUAAUGCUUGGGAAUCUGGCUUAUGGAGGGGGAUAACUGCGGGAAACUGCAGCUAAUACCGCGUAAAGUCUUUGGACUAAAGGGGGCGUUUGCUCUUGCCAUAAGAUGAGCCCAAGUGGGAUUAGGUAGUUGGUGGGGUAAUGGCUCACCAAGCCGUCGAUCUCUAGCUGGUCUGAGAGGAUGACCAGCCACACCGGGACUGAGACACGGCCCGGACUCCUACGGGAGGCAGCAGUGGGGAAUAUUGCGCAAUGGGGGGAACCCUGACGCAGCCAUGCCGCGUGAAUGAAGAAGGCCUUCGGGUUGUAAAGUUCUUUCGGUGAUGAGGAAGGCAGUUUGGUUAAUAGCCAAGCUGAUUGACGUUAGUCACAGAAGAAGCACCGGCUAACUCCGUGCCAGCAGCCGCGGUAAUACGGAGGGUGCGAGCGUUAAUCGGAAUAACUGGGCGUAAAGGGCACGCAGGCGGAUUUUUAAGUGAGGUGUGAAAGCCCUGGGCUUAACCUGGGAAUUGCAUUUCAGACUGGGAAUCUAGAGUACUUUAGGGAGGGGUAGAAUUCCACGUGUAGCGGUGAAAUGCGUAGAGAUGUGGAGGAAUACCGAAGGCGAAGGCAGCCCCUUGGGAAUGUACUGACGCUCAUGUGCGAAAGCGUGGGGAGCAAACAGGAUUAGAUACCCUGGUAGUCCACGCUGUAAACGCUGUCGAUUUGGGGGUUGGGGUUUAACUCUGACGCCCGUAGCUAACGUGAUAAAUCGACCGCCUGGGGAGUACGGCCGCAAGGUUAAAACUCAAAUGAAUUGACGGGGGCCCGCACAAGCGGUGGAGCAUGUGGUUUAAUUCGAUGCAACGCGAAGAACCUUACCUACUCUUGACAUCCAGAGAAUCCUGUAGAGAUACGGGAGUGCCUUCGGGAGCUUUGAGACAGGUGCUGCAUGGCUGUCGUCAGCUCGUGUUGUGAAAUGUUGGGUUAAGUCCCGCAACGAGCGCAACCCUUAUCCUUUGUUGCCAGCGAUACGGUCGGGAACUCAAAGGAGACUGCCGGUGAUAAACCGGAAGAAGGUGGGGAUGACGUCA
rnacentral:rRNA from 1 species